GGUUGGUGUUCCAAGGGUGAGGAAAUGGAGAGUGAGUGAUAGCGUGAGAGGUUAUUUUUUGGACGUGUAUGCCCAUAGUGGAUGAAAGGUUGAAGACGGAGGAAUAAGGCGAAGGUUUAUGUUGUCCAAAAGGGGGGGUAGUUAUGGAAACCUUUAAGGUAGUGAGAGGGGUAGUUGUGAAAUGAAGUUUGAGGUAUGGGGAGUUGAGAGAGAAAGAAGGUGAGGAAUUGUCUUUUGUUUUGAAGUUCUUCUAUUUUUUGAGAGGGGAGAGUAUUCCUU
rnacentral:lncRNA from 1 species